rnacentral:rRNA from 1 species
UACAUGGGGUGCAAACGUUGCUCGGAAUCAUUGGGCGUAAAGCGCGCGUAGGCGGUUACUCAAGUUGGAUGUGAAAGCCCUCGGCUUAACUGAGGAAGUGCAUCCAAAACUGAGUAGCUAGAGUACUAAAGAGGGUCGCGGAAUUCCCGGUGUAGAGGUGAAAUUCGUAGAUAUUCGGAAGAACACCAGUGGCGAAGGCGGCUCACUGGACCGGCAUUGACGCUGAUGUGCGAAAGCGUGGGGAGCAAACAGG